rnacentral:rRNA from 1 species
UACGUAGGGUGCGAGCGUUGUCCGGAAUUAUUGGGCGUAAAGGGCUCGUAGGCGGUCUGUCGCGUCGGUAGUGAAAACUCAGGGCUUAACCCUGAGCCUGCUUCCGAUACGGGCAGACUAGAGGUAUGCAGGGGAGAAUGGAAUUCCUGGUGUAGCGGUGAAAUGCGCAGAUAUCAGGAGGAACACCGGUGGCGAAGGCGGUUCUCUGGGCAUUACCUGACGCUGAGGAGCGAAAGCCAGGGGAGCAAACGGG